rnacentral:rRNA from 1 species
UGGGGAAUCUUGGACAAUGGGGGCAACCCUGAUCCAGCCAUGCCGCGUGAGCGAAGAAGGCCUUAGGGUUGUAAAGCUCUUUCGCCGGUGAAGAUAAUGACGGUAACCGGUAAAGAAACCCCGGCUAACUCCGUGCCAGCAGCCGCGGUAAUACGGAGGGGGUUAGCGUUGUUCGGAAUUACUGGGCGUAAAGCGCACGUAGGCGGACCAGCCAGUCAGAGGUGAAAUCCCGGGGCUCAACCUCGGAACUGCCUUUGAUACUGCUGGUCUCGAGUCCGAGAGAGGUGAGUGGAAUUCCGAGUGUAGAGGUGAAAUUCGUAGAUAUUCGGAGGAACACCAGUGGCGAAGGCGGCUCACUGGCUCGGUACUGACGCUGAGGUGCGAAAGCGUGGGGAGCAAACAGGAUUAGAUACCCGUGUAGUCC